CCCUCACUGUAUAUUCCGAUGGCUAUUGAGUCUACAGUCAUCUGCUAUAAUACCUCUGUGCGAGAAUAGCACCCGCGCUAAUCUAGCUUUAGUGGGAUUUGAUAGCAGUUGGUUGGCAAGCGCUGUUCCUACGCCAACUUUCUCAAGUUGUAUCCCUUAAGGUUCUAACCAUUCAAACUUUAGUAUUACUCCUAUGUUUGAUCGUAAUUGAUCGAGUGAUAUACAGUUUGAGUACCUUAUCUAGAAUAAAUCCGUUAUAACAGAAAUAAGGGCGCGUUUAAAGAAAUGCGCAGAUAGGUUAAUUGCUAUUCUCAGUUACACAUCCUUUACAAUAACAACUUUUUGUAUAAGGUUUAUACUUUUUAUCAAGUUGCAGUUGCAAAUACCAACCUUUUUAUUGUAAAUGGAAGACUUUGUAUAUUCAUUUUUAUUUUAAUUCUACCUACAUAAAAAUUCCAAAAAAAGAUUGAUGCAUUACAUGCAUAGCCGAAUCGUUAUCUGUUUUCUCGGUAUUUUAUGGUGCUUUUAAGUACGUAAGUAAAAAGGUACAAACCGGCGGAAAAUACAUGGAAGAGUGUGGUGGAGGGCGUGGUCGCUUUAUCGAUGUCAAAACAAAGCUUUAUUUUCUUAUGACAUAUCAAUUAAGAUGUUUCAUCCUCGCCGCCUGUCAUCGCAGUUUAGAACUAAGUCCAUGUCAAACAAAAUAGUUUGUUUUGCAUCAUGAUUGAGCUGUUUCUGAACAACAUUACACUUACCUAAAAUUUGCAUGAUCCUCCACUCACUAAAAGGCAUGCAAUCACUAUCGUCACUACUGACACAGAACACAAAGAGGAAAAAAAAAUCCUUGGUCAGUUUUCUGUGCACUACUGAUGCUUUACCUAGUUAUAAUUUAAUGUUAAUUUUCCCGAAGAAACUGUAAAGAACACUGAAAGGAAGGCCUCUUCGGCAUGUUCUGUCGUUCAUCGAUGUAAGCCGCGACUUCCACCGCGCUCAUCCAUGUAUCUUGGGCAUGUCUGUACCCUAAGAAUAUACGUAGGAUAUUAAGUUGCCGGUUCGUAUGGAAGACCUGCAAUAUAGAUUUAGGCAAAAAUCUUUUGUCGCAGGUAAAGGAUAUUUAGAUUUUACAAAAAUAAUAAAAUUUUUCUUUUUUUUUAACCAAACUUGUUAGUUUUACUGUUUUUUUCAAUAAAUAUUUAUAAUUAUUGAAUAUUGAUUAUAAAAAAAAAUUCCAAUGAACUUUAAAAAAAUUAUUUUUUUAAUAUAAACUACUACUAAUGUUUA